rnacentral:rRNA from 1 species
UGGGGAAUAUUGCACAAUGGGGGAAACCCUGAUGCAGCGACGCCGCGUGGAGGAUGACGGCCUUCGGGUUGUAAACUCCUUUUGUCAGGGACAAUGGUGAUGGUACCUGACGAAUAAGCCACGGCUAACUCUGUG